rnacentral:rRNA from 1 species
GGGUUGGAAAGUUUUUCGGUGCAGGAUGAGCCCGCGGCCUAUCAGCUUGUUGGUGGGGUAAUGGCCUACCAAGGCGACGACGGGUAGCCGGCCUGAGAGGGUGAUCGGCCACACUGGGACUGAGACACGGCCCAGACUCCUACGGGAGGCAGCAGUGGGGAAUAUUGCACAAUGGGCGAAAGCCUGAUGCAGCGACGCCGCGUGGGGGAUGACGGUCUUCGGAUUGUAAACCCCUUUCAGUAGGGACGAAGCGCA